rnacentral:rRNA from 1 species
UACGUAGGGUGCGAGCGUUGCCCGGAUUUAUUGGGCGUAAAGGGCGCGUAGGCGGCUCUGCACGUCCGUUGUGAAAUCGCCCGGCUCAACUGGGCGGGGUCAGCGGAUACGGCGGAGCUUGAGCAAGCUAGGGGGCAAUGGAAUUCCCGGUGUAGUGGUGGAAUGCGUAGAUAUCGGGAGGAACACCAGUGGCGAAGGCGGCAUCCUGGACCGGUAUUGACGCUGAGGAGCGAAAGCCAGGGGAGCAAAGCGGG